GUUCUUUUUCACUUUGUUGACCUCUUUCCCUUUUUCUCUCUAAACAGAAACCAUUUUUCCUAAAUAAUUGCUCUGCCUUCUCUCUAAAAGAUCCAAACGUUUAAAUUUUAAUUUGAAGGUGCCUAAACGAUCGCGGUGGCAAGAGCUUCAUUUUGAACCGAAUAGUUUCCUGUUCCGACCGAUGACGAAGAGGAUACUUUGGAAACGGCUCUUGAUAGGGACGAUAGUGCUGCAGCUUAGAUUUGCUAGUUUUUAUUUCCAUGAACUCAUAUUAUUUUGAAGAACUUUAGUGCAUUUAAAGUUUUAAAUUCUCUGUAAUUUUCAGGGAGGAAUUUUAAUACUCUAGUUUUCAAUUCCACACUAUUCUAAAGAUGACUGUAAUCCUAAUUACUCUUGACUAACGUUAUUAUAUGUACGCUUUUUCUAUA